rnacentral:rRNA from 1 species
GACAGAGGGUGCAAACGUUGUUCGGAAUUACUGGGCGUAAAGCGCGUGUAGGCGGCCAUCUAAGUCGGGCGUGAAAUCCCACGGCUCAACCGUGGAAGUGCACUCGAAACUGGAUGGCUAGAGUCCUGGAGAGGAAGGUGGAAUGCUUGGUGUAGAGGUGAAAUUCGUAGAUAUCAAGCGGAACACCGGUGGCGAAGGCGGCCUUC